rnacentral:rRNA from 1 species
CAUAUCAAUAAGCGGAGGAAAAGAAACCAACAGGGAUUGCCUUAGUAACGGCGAGUGAAGCGGCAAAAGCUCAGAUUUGAAAUCUGGCGUCAUUUUGGCGUCCGAGUUGUAAUCUGUAGAGGAGUAUUCGAGUGUGGAUUUGGCUUAAGUUCCUUGGAACAGGACGUCAUAGAGGGUGAGAACCCCGUUAACGGCCUACGUCUUAUGCUCAUGUGAAUCUCCUUCAACGAGUCGAGUUGUUUGGGAAUGCAGCUCUAAAUGGGUGGUAAAUUCCAUCUAAAGCUAAAUACUGGCAAGAGACCGAUAGCGCACAAGUAGAGUGAUCGAAAGAUGAAAAGAACUCUGAACAGAGAGUUAAAUAGUACGUGAAAUUGUUGAAAGGGAAGCACUUGCUACCAGACACGCCUGUAGUUGAUCAACCUCCAUUCUUGGUGGUGCACUCGGCUAUAGGUGGGUCAGCAUCAGUUACAACGGUGGGAUAAAGACUUUGGGAAUGUAGCUUCCUUCGGGAAGUGUUAUAGCCCUUGGUGUAAUACCAUCUGAUGUGACUGAGGCCCGCGCUUCGGCGAGGAUGCUGGCAUAAUGGUCGUAAGUGACCCGUCUUGAAACACGGACCAAGGAGUCUAACAUCUAUGCGAGUGUUUGGGCGUCAAAACCCUUACGCGGAAUGAAAGUGAAUGAAGGUGGGAACCGCAAGGUGCACCAUCGACCGAUCCUGAUGUUUUCGGAUGGAUUUGAGUAGGAGCAUAGCUGUUGGGACCCGAAAGAUGGUGAACUAUGCCUGAAUAGGGUGAAGCCAGAGGAAACUCUGGUGGAGGCUCGCAGCGGUUUUGACGUGCAAAUCGAUCGUCAAAUUUGGGUAUAGGG